rnacentral:rRNA from 1 species
GAUGAACGCUGGCGGCGUGCUUAACACAUGCAAGUCGAACGGUGAAGGAGGAGCUUGCUCUUCUGGAUCAGUGGCGAACGGGUGAGUAACACGUGAGCAAUCUGCCCUUGACUCUGGGAUAACAGUUGGAAACAGCUGCUAAUACCGGAUACGAGACGUGACCGCAUGGUCAACGUUUGGAAAGAACUUCGGUCAAGGAUGAGCUCACGGCCUAUCAGCUAGUUGGUGAAGUAAUGGCUCACCAAGGCGACGACGGGUAGCCGGCCUGAGAGGGUGACCGGCCACACUGGGACUGAGACACGGCCCAGACUCCUACGGGAGGCAGCAGUGGGGAAUAUUGCACAAUGGGCGAAAGCCUGAUGCAGCAACGCCGCGUGAGGGACGACGGCCUCGUGUACGUACUACGUCUCGAGGACGGAAGUACCGACACGGACGUACGACGGUACGUCGUACGUAGAGGACCGGACCGUAACCGUACCGUACGUCCGACGCGAGCCGAC